UGCAGUCGCUGUGGAGUUGGUGUCGGAUGGAGAUGAUGAGAGCGAAAAUAGCCGCUGUGGCAGACUUGAAGAAAACGCAUCAGUCCACCUCGCCAGGACAGUGAAUCCCGCGGUUUCACAAACAGGGGGGUGAAGGAAAAAUGUUGAGUUCACAUUGGGCUUCCUGAUGCUGACUCCAUGAAGAUCAUCUCCAUCAGAUGCUGUCACGGCCAGUUUAGACCUGAAGAUAAAAGACUUCAGAUUGCUCUGAUUAAUCACGUGGUGGUAAUGCAGUAAAGCAGAUCCAGUUUAUCUUCCAGCUUAUAAUACACUGCAUGAUUUCUUCUGUGUGUAACAUAACGAGAAGUGUCUUUGCCCUGUGGACAGUGGACUCAUUCUGCCACUGUCCUGUGGCAUUAUGUCCCUGCGCUGUGCGACCUGACCUCCGUGGUUUGAGUGACGUCCCUGUCCCUCUCCCCUGCAUGUCUGACUGUCUGUCCUCCCUCCUCCUCGCACUGCCUCAUCUGUCAGCUCGGCUCACGGUCACGGCCGCUGUCCUGCCUGCCUCGGUGAACAUUCAACGCUGUCGGUGAGUUUGGUAUGGAUCACAUAAAAACCAUCGACCGUUGACUGUGCCCCGUGGCUCGCUCUGACGACGUCGGGAAUGAGGGGGGAAAAAAAAUGAACAAAAGGGCAAGUGGGCGCAUGCAAAUCCAAAGAAGACACACACACACACACACUCACUCACUCACUCACUCACUCACUCACUCACACGCACAUGCACAGAAGCGACACUCUGUUUCCACUGUACCCAAAGACCAAAGGUCACAAUCAACAUUCAUUGCUGUCGCUGGGUUGGACUGUGUAGAAAAGCUCACUGAACAAUGAGUGCAACUGUGGCCCAGAUCUGCCUGACUCGCGUCCCAGCCAAUCAGCCGACCGGAUGUGAAACACUCUGAUUUCUUUAUUUAUAUACUUCUUGUUUUUCACUUCUAUUUUCUCCCACCCCGGCGCUGGGAGUCUUCAGGGGAAGAGAGAAAAAGAGAGAGAGAGAGAGAUAGAGACACAAAUAGACUUCAGGCUGCUUGCUUGUCCUCAUCCUCCUCUCCUCUAAUUGGUGGUUAUGUGUGCAGCAAGGGGGAAGGAAGCGGAGUGAAUGUGUAAUCAUUUGGAGUCUCUUCUCCUUUGGAUGUUUCAUCCCUCUCUUUUUUGUUUGUCUAAUUAUAUACCGAGCUCACUUAACUCUGUGUUAACUGCACGUCUGUGCUGGCAAGAACCAGCAAGAAUCAGCAACUGACAAAGAGAAAGAGGCCAAGGGGGAAAAAAAAAAAAAAAAAGGUAGAAAGAUUAUAGCACCAGCAAAAUUAUUAUCUACUUUUUAGUAUAUUUUAUAUAAUAUUCUUCCUGGUGCUGCUGCAAAUGUGCCAGGAUAUAAGCAAUUUGCAAAUGCAGAAAGAAAAUUGUUUUCACCUUUCUGAUGGUGGAUGUUUCAUUAUCUGUGUUUGAGUUUCAUGAGAGACUGUCUGGUUUCCUGCGUGCCUCUGUGUGUGGGUGUGUGUGUGUGUGCGUGUGUGCGUAUGCUAUGAUCGAGGACCUGCCUGCUGAUCUCAGAGUGCAAUAUGUUAUUUUCCUUCUGUACUAAAGUUGCUCCCUCACAGGAAAACACAGUCUAUAACCUUGUCUUCCUUCAGACAGUCUGGGACCAGCCAUUCUCCUGCCGUUGUUCAUUGUACCCCUCUGUAACAACUCUCUGACACUGUGCCCUGUAUCAGUAAUCCAUGUAGUGUAAACACACAGCUCACACGCUUGUUAUCUAUAUGUAGGAAUGUGUUUUAUGUUCUCAUGAAGUGCUGACAUUUGCUGUAAGUUUUUUUUUUUUUUUUUUUUUUUUUUUUUUUAUGGCUGCUUUUAUUAAAGUAAUUGAAUAAAGUUAAAUCAGGACCCAGGCAUUAGCGUCUGAUGUGGUUAUUCACUGUGAAUUACACACAUAACUCAUAUUUAGUGAUGCUUUACUCUGGAAUAACCAUCCAACUCCUUAUUUCUGUAGACUCUAUCACACUUUAUCUAACAGUAUGUGCUCCCUCUGUCAUUUAGUAACCAUGCCCCAUGUCCGUGUCCCUCUCUCCCCAGUCUCUCUGUAUUAUUCAUAGAAAAGCACUCUGUGCAGUGGUGCAGAACAGUGGAGGUGAUGUAAUAGUGGCUGCGAGCGUGGCUCCGGACUGUCAUUUGGGAUGGACUCAUGCGACAGGAGAAAACGCUCAGUUUGUUCAGCUUUGUUGGUGUUGCCAACAGCUACAGCUGAUGGCCAGGGACCGGACAUGAAGCACAUCUAUGAUAAAAGUGUCAUUUUUAGCAGCUUAAGCUCCUAAAAUGAUAUUUCAAAGACCUGAAAUCCACUUAGGGGCUCCGCUUUGCAAACUUUAAAGAGUUGAAUUGAAGGAAAUAGUAUGGAGAUGCAGUUAAAAGUCCACAUCAUUGCGUGAUGUCAAGCGCUGAACAUUAGCACGCUG